rnacentral:rRNA from 1 species
CCUUUUGUAUAAUGGGUCAGCGACUUAUAUUCUGUAGCAAGGUUAACCGAAUAGGGGAGCCGGAGGGAAACCGAGUCUUAAUUGGGCGUUAAGUUGCAGGGUAUAGACCCGAAACCCGGUGAUCUAGCCAUGGGCAGGUUGAAGGUUGGGUAACACUAACUGGAGGACCGAACCGACUAAUGUUGAAAAAUUAGCGGAUGACCUGUGGCUGGGGGUGAAAGGCCAAUCAAACCGGGAGAUAGCUGGUUCUCCCCGAAAGCUAUUUAGGUAGCGCCUCGUGAAUUCAUCUCCGGGGGUAGAGCACUGUUUCGGCUAGGGGGCCAUCCCGGCUUACCAACCCGAUGCAAACUGCGAAUACCGGAGAAUGUUAUCACGGGAGACACACGGCGGGUGCUAACGUCCGUCGUGAAGAGGGAAACAACCCAGACCGCCAGCUAAGGUCCCAAAGUCAUGGUUAAGUGGGAAACGAUGUGGGAAGGCCCAGACAGCCAGGAUGUUGGCUUAGAAGCAGCCAUCAUUUAAAGAAAGCGUAAUAGCUCACUGGUCGAGUCGGCCUGCGCGGAAGAUGUAACGGGGCUAAACCAUGCACCGAAGCUGCGGCAGCGACACUGUGUGUUGUUGGGUAGGGGAGCGUUCUGUAAGCCUGUGAAGGUGUGUCGUGAGGCAUGCUGGAGGUAUCAGAAGUGCGAAUGCUGACAUAAGUAACGAUAAAGCGGGUGAAAAGCCCGCUCGCCGGAAGACCAAGGGUUCCUGUCCAACGUUAAUCGGGGCAGGGUGAGUCGACCCCUAAGGCGAGGCCGAAAGGCGUAGUCGAUGGGAAACGGGUUAAUAUUCCCGUACUUGGUGUUACUGCGAAGGGGGGACGGAGAAGGCUAUGUUGGCCGGGCGACGGUUGUCCCGGUUUAAGCGUGUAGGUGUGUGUUCCAGGUAAAUCCGGUUCACUUUAACACUGAGGCGUGACGACGAGGCACUACGGUGCUGAAGCAACAAAUGCCCUGCUUCCAGGAAAAGCCUCUAAGCAUCAGGUAACAUCAAAUCGUACCCCAAACCGACACAGGUGGUCAGGUAGAGAAUACCAAGGCGCUUGAGAGAACUCGGGUGAAGGAACUAGGCAAAAUGGUGCCGUAACUUCGGGAGAAGGCACGCUGACACGUAGGUGAAGUGAUUUACUCAUGGAGCUGAAGUCAGUCGAAGAUACCAGCUGGCUGCAACUGUUUAUUAAAAACACAGCACUGUGCAAACACGAAAGUGGACGUAUACGGUGUGACGCCUGCCCGGUGCCGGAAGGUUAAUUGAUGGGGUCAGCGCAAGCGAAGCUCCUGAUCGAAGCCCCGGUAAACGGCGGCCGUAACUAUAACGGUCCUAAGGUAGCGAAAUUCCUUGUCGGGUAAGUUCCGACCUGCACGAAUGGCGUAAUGAUGGCCAGGCUGUCUCCACCCGAGACUCAGUGAAAUUGAACUCGCUGUGAAGAUGCAGUGUACCCGCGGCAAGACGGAAAGACCCCGUGAACCUUUACUAUAGCUUGACACUGAACAUUGAGCCUUGAUGUGUAGGAUAGGUGGGAGGCUUUGAAGUGUGGACGCCAGUCUGCAUGGAGCCGACCUUGAAAUACCACCCUUUAAUGUUUGAUGUUCUAACGUGGACCCGUUACCCGGGUUGCGGACAGUGUCUGGUGGGUAGUUUGACUGGGGCGGUCUCCUCCUAAAGAGUAACGGAGGAGCACGAAGGUUGGCUAAUCCUGGUCGGACAUCAGGAGGUUAGUGCAAUGGCAUAAGCCAGCUUGACUGCGAGCGUGACGGCGCGAGCAGGUGCGAAAGCAGGUCAUAGUGAUCCGGUGGUUCUGAAUGGAAGGGCCAUCGCUCAACGGAUAAAAGGUACUCCGGGGAUAACAGGCUGAUACCGCCCAAGAGUUCAUAUCGACGGCGGUGUUUGGCACCUCGAUGUCGGCUCAUCACAUCCUGGGGCUGAAGUAGGUCCCAAGGGUAUGGCUGUUCGCCAUUUAAAGUGGUACGCGAGCUGGGUUUAGAACGUCGUGAGACAGUUCGGUCCCUAUCUGCCGUGGGCGCUGGAGAACUGAGGGGGGCUGCUCCUAGUACGAGAGGACCGGAGUGGACGCAUCACUGGUGUUCGGGUUGUCAUGCCAAUGGCACUGCCCGGUAGCUAAAUGCGGAAGAGAUAAGUGCUGAAAGCAUCUAAGCACGAAACUUGCCCCGAG